rnacentral:rRNA from 1 species
UACAGAGGUCCCAAGCGUUGUUCGGAUUCACUGGGCGUAAAGGGUGCGCAGGCGGCCAAGUGUGUUAGGCGUGAAAGCCUGAGGCUUAACCUCAGAAUUGCACCUAAAACUACGUGGCUAGAGCAUUGGAGAGGGUAGCGGAAUUCACGGUGUAGCAGUGAAAUGCGUAGAUAUCGUGAGGAACACCAGAGGCGAAGGCGGCUACCUAGACAAUUGCUGACGCUCAGGCACGAAAGCGUGGGGAGCAAAAGGG